rnacentral:lncRNA from 1 species
UACCUUACAGCCACAGCAACGUGGAAUCUGAGCUGUGUCUGCAGCCUACACAACAGCUCAGGGCAACUCUGGAUCCCCCAUUCACUGAGCGAGGCCAGGGAUCAAACCUGCAUCCUUAUGGAUACUAGUCUGGUUCGUUUCUGCUGAGCCACAAUGGGAUCUCCCUUGAAGGGUAGCUUUUUAUUUGGAAUUCUUGCUGAUAGUUUUUUCCUUUGUUGAGCACUUUAACUCUGUCAUCUCAUUGCCCUCUUACUUCCCAGGUUGUUAUGUGAAAUAAUUUAUUAAUAUAAUUGAGGACCAUUGUCCUUCUGGGACUCCAAUAUAUUAUUCUGCUUCACAGUGAGCCAUAGGUCCCUAUGUUUUUGUUCACCAUUCUUCAUUCUUUUUUCAUUCUUCUCUUCAGACUUAAUAAUUUCAGUUGUCUCAUCUCAAAGUUCACUGAUUCUGCCUAAUUAAAUCUGCUGUUGAACUUUUCUUAGGAGUUUUCACUUAGUUUUAUUAUAUUUUGCAGCUCCAGGAUUUCUAUUUGGUUCAUCUUUGUAAGUUCUCUUUGUUUAUAUUCCCAUUUUUUUUGUUUAAAAUUUUUUUCUGUUUUCUUUUACUUCUUUGCUUAUGGUUUUCUUUAGCUUUCUGCAAAUUUUUAAAAGUGUUGAUUUAAAGUCUUUAUAACCUCAAUGUCUGGGCUUCUUUAAGGACAAUUUCUGUCAAUUUAUUUUUUUCCUUUGCCCCAUCAUAUCUUUUUGUUUCAUUGUAUACUUUGUGAUUUUGUGUUGUUUGAAAAUUGGACAUCAGAAUAUUAUUCUAUGGUAACUCAAUCAAAUUCUCUUCCUGUCUUAGGUCUUUUUCUUGAUGGUUGAAAGCUGACCUUUUGUUCAGCUGACAUAGUGUUAAGACAAAGAUUUCCUUCAAUUCCAAGAGCAAAAGUCAAAGCAAAAGAAAAAAAACAAAUCACAAAAAUGCUGCCCCCACUGUGCUGGGGACUCCUUUAAUCCUAGCUUGGCUGUUCACAACCUCUGCUCAGUCUUCCUUUUCUGCUUGUUUGUGCUGAGCCUAGAGACCAACCUGGGGUCUCUCAGGUCUUUUCUGAGCAUGCACCCUGUCCUGGGCACUCAUGUGCCUUUCUAAAUUGUGCCAGUAACAUGGGUGCUUAUGAAGCCCUAAUUUCUGAAGGAAAUUCUCCUGGCUUGUUCUCCGAGGCUUUUGUGGACUCUGUAUAUCUCAGCUGUUAUCUUUUGCCCCUCAUGGCUGUGGAUUUUCCUCGGCCAGACAAUAUUUUCAAGCAAUGCUCACCAAGAUUCUGCCCCAAGUGGGCUGAGUUGGCAAAACAGAAAUGAAAGGCUUACAUCAGCCCUCAGGCAGCCGCCAGAUAGGUCAGGACAGGCAAAUGCAACAACUUGUAGAUACACUCUGCCUUUCUCCUUCUAAAGCCAGAAAUCAGGGCCCCACACCAGCUUGCAGGCUGCAUCUCAGGCCAGGGAGGGUGGUGGCAAGUGAGAAUGGCCCAAAGCUUUCUGACUCUUUCCAAGUUUCCUUUUUCUUAAUUCAGCACUUGCAUGGUUGCUUGUCAGACUUGACUGUUUUCCAGAAUUGUGACAUAGUUGGUUUUGACAGUUUCUGCCUUUUUUUUUUUUUUUUCCCAUGGAGGGAGAGUGUUUUGGAGCUGUGAACUCCACCAUUUUGCUGCAGUUACACCCUUUCCUUUUACUUUCAAUCUCUAAAUUUCACAGGGUAUCUACUAAAUUAACUGGAUUUCUUCUACUUUCCCAUUCAUAUGGCUAUAUACACUCACAUAUACAUAUAUAUAUACAAACAUAUGUAUGUAUAUAUGUGCAUAUAUAUGUAUAUGGUCAGAUCUAGUGCUCUUAUUAACAGAAAUUAACCUAGUGCACAUUGUUUCAAAAUGAUAGAAUAUUUAUGAAAUUUUUAUGCCUGAGGAACAUUCAUUUUCAAACUUAGAGGAAGACUUUAGGUAUUUCUGAAAUUCAGAUCAGGUGAUUAGCUGUAAAUAUAUUUUUGGACUUGUCUUUACAAAUCUAACAUUUCAAGGGUAGAAAACUCUGAAUAAUUUUUAUUUAUUCUUGUUUGUUUUUGCUUUUCUGUUGAGGUCUAAUUGACAGAUGUUAUUAUAUUAGUUGCAGGUGUACCACAUGAUGAUUUGACACUUGUAUAUAUCAGGAAAUAUUUACUACAGGAGGCCUAGUUAACAUCUAUAUCACCUUGCUUUAUUUUAUUUAUUUAUUUAUUUAUUUUUGCUUUUUUAGGGUUGCACCUGUGGCAUAUGGAAGUUCCCAGGCUAGAGGUCAGCACCUCUAGCCCUGUACCCUGUACCACAGCAGCAGCAACAUGGGACCUGAGCUGUGUCUGUGACUUACACCACAGCUCACUCUAAUGCCACAUCCUUAAUCCACUGAAUGACGCCAGGGAUUGAACCCACAUCCUCAUGGAUCCUAGUCAGGUUUGUUACCACAGAGCCACAAUGGUAACUUCAUCUUGCUUCAUUUUUAGCAUGCAAGGAAAAAAAAUUGUUGUUUCUUUUUUAUUAUUAUUAUUAUAGUAGAUUUACAAUGUUCUGUCAAUUUUUGCUGUCCAGCAAAGUGACCUGGUUAUACAUAUAUACAUUCUUUUUUUUCUUCCUGCCCUAGCUUUCUGCAAGUUGUGUGUGUACCAGUGUCCAUGAAUAGAUGUGUACAUGCACACAGAGGAUUCACAUCAAAUAGGCAUACACCCCAAUAUUCUAUUGAAUUAUUUCUGAAACAUAUGGGUGUGACUUUUGUGUCAUGGAAAAUAUUUGCCUAACUUUUCUCAUAUACAAUAUUUUGUGAAAUACCUGUAUAGAACAAUAUAAAGAGAAUAGGAAGAAUAAGAAGGAAUGUACUUUGACAAACAUCUAGUCUGCAACAUAAUAAUCUGCUAUCUGAGCUUCUACCUGUCAGAUGCAAUCAUAAAUAAAACAUCGAAGGAAGAAGCAAGGGAUUGCUUUUAAGGAAAUGAAAUUAUUAUCUUGAGAAUAUUUCAGAAAUGUGAUUUGAAAGGUCAUAUGCACGACCUAAGUGUUUCUUAGCUUUCCAUUGAUUCCUGGAGGAUCCUGGGCGAGGUACAUUGUGGUGAUGGGCUUGUCUUGUAUCUAGACUCUCAUCCUAAUAGUGUCAGGAAACAAACUCCUUUUGAGGGAAGACUGUUGCUCAAAGCCCCAGAGCAGCUAAGGCAGGCUGUGUCUCAGAGCUUUUUAAGUUGGUUCAAUCCUUCACUGUAAGACCCAGGGCUCUCAAGAGCUAGGUAUAAUGUUCCCUCUUGUGUUUUAAGACUUUCCUGUGGGAUAAUUAAGACAGCAACAAGUACACCAUUUUUAGGCAUCUACCCAAACAAACAGCUCCUGGCAUGAUGACUGCCACUGUCUGGAGAUUUUGUACAUUUUCUUGGUGGGCCAAAUGUCAAGGUGCUGGAUAUCAAAGGUGUGAAUUCACUGGGAUGAAGGGAGGAAAAAAUCUGCCACAUUUGCCACUGAGUAAUGGAAAUCUGAUAUAUAUGGGGCAUGCUUGCUGACAGAUACUGACAGAUGUAGAACUGCUUCAUUUGUUUAGUUGGUUUUAAAGCCAUAACCAAAUAGUUGAUACAUCUGCAUAGACUUCAUCCAAAGUCUCUGGAUUUAAGUACUUAGACAUUAAGAGUCUUACCAAGUGGCAUUUUGCAUUUUGUUCUGUUCUGUGCUGUUUAUGCAGAAGUCAACAGGAUCUUUAACCUUUGAGAAACCUGCAUUAAAUCAAUAUUACAUUAGUGUUUUAAUGUCAUUAGCUCAAUAGCUGUAUGCUGAGAUAUUUCCUCCAUUCAGAAAGUCAGGAAUCAGUAGAUAAAAAUGAGAUGAUUAACCAUGAAUACCUGCUCCUCACACUUUUAUGUACACACAAUUAUCUCUUUCCAUCCAAAGCUUGACUUUAUUACCUGUAAUUCAGGAAGUAUAAGCCCACACCCUGUACCUUGCAUAGCAAUGGAGCUCUCUUGGUGACCUCACACGUUUCCAUGGCAGCAUAUUCAUCUGGAAAUAGUACAGCACUUUGAUUUAUAGGUGGUCAAAGAUGGACUUCUGAAUUAUACACAUUAAAAUGGCUAGUUUCAAAAGAAAUUCUUAGGUUGGAAAUUGCACAGUACAAGAUUAUAAAUUAACACAGUAUUUAUAUUUUUAAUGAUUAUGCAUUUCUAAUUCUGAGAUUAAAGGAGGGAUUUUGUCAUUCAAAUGCCUUACAGUUAGAAUAUUUACAUGGAAGUUACAUAGUAGCAAUGGAGUCAAGAAAUCUGGUUUUGGCAACUCUCUACUACUACUGGUCACAUUACAGCCUGUCGCCAUGGCUGUUAACCUGCUAAGGCUGCCGUAAGGAAAUACCAUUGACUAGGAGGCUUAAACAUCAGACGUUUAUUUUCUCACACUUUUGGAGGCUGCAGGUCCUAACGGAGGUCAAGGUCAGUUUUCAGUGGCUAGUAAAGAUUCUCUUGGUUUGCAGACUUGGCUUUUCCUCUGAAUGCAGCUAGAGAGAGGGAGGUGGGGUGGAGGGAGAGAGGAGGAGAGAGAGGAUAGAGAGAAAGGGAGUGGGCAGGCCCUGGUCCCUUUUGAUAAGAACAUUAAUCCCAUGAGAUCACCUUUGGAACCUCAUUUAAACUCCAAAAACUUUAAUUGUUUCCGUAGAGGCCCUGGGUCCAAAGGCAGGCAUGCUGGGCCUUAGAGCCUCCAGUGAAUGAAUGGGGUUGGGGGGUGCACAGCAUUCAUUCCAGACACUAGGCCUCCUGCUCUCCAUCUUCCCCUGUGCUGGCUCUUCAUUGUCUGAUUCUAAAAGGGAAAAGAACUUGCAUCUCCUGAGACCACUCAGGAUGUCUGCAUGCUGGGCAUUUGGUCUCAGGAGAGAUUGUUCAGUUGGACAAAAGUUACUUUUAACUUCAGUAAAGCAGUAAUGAACUAGAGAUGAAUGUUUGUUUAAAAAAAAAAAAGUUUUCUAAAAACUUCCUCUUCUUCUGUAAUAUCUGGAGCAAAGUUAGGAAAGAAGAUGUUUUAUGUGUUCUGGGCUGCGAAGGCUGCUACGUGACCAGGACCUGGCCAUGAAUGACCUGGAGACUCUGAGCCCCCGACUGGCUCCUUCUCACUUGCUCCCCUCCGUGAAUCUGGGACAUCAGGAGAACUAUUUCCAGGCCUGACUAUGUUUCUAGAGGCAGAAAAAAAAAAAAAAAA